GAUGAACGCUGGCGGCGUGCUUAACACAUGCAAGUCGAACGAAGCACUUAUGAUCGAGAUUUCGGUUGAUUGAUUAAGUGACUUAGUGGCGGACGGGUGAGUAACGCGUGGGUAACCUGCCUUGUACAGGGGGAUAACAGUUAGAAAUGACUGCUAAUACCGCAUAACCCGCUAAGGUCGCAUGACCUAGACGGAAAAGGUUUAUCGGUACAAGAUGGACCCGCGUCUGAUUAGCUAGUUGGUGAGGUAACGGCCUACCAAGGCGACGAUCAGUAGCCGGCCUGAGAGGGUGACCGGCCACAUUGGGACUGAGACACGGCCCAAACUCCUACGGGAGGCAGCAGUGGGGAAUAUUGCACAAUGGGGGAAACCCUGAUGCAGCAACGCCGCGUGAGUGAAGAAGUAUUUCGGUAUGUAAAGCUCUAUCAGCAGGGAAGAAAAUGACGGUACCUGACUAAGAAGCCCCGGCUAACUACGUG
rnacentral:rRNA from 1 species